GAUGAACGCUGGCGGCGUGCCUAAUACAUGCAAGUCGAGCGAACGGAUAUGGAGCUUGCUCCUUUGAAGUUAGCGGCGGACGGGUGAGUAACACGUGGGUAACCUACCUAUAAGACUGGAAUAACUUCGGGAAACCGGAGCUAAUGCCGGAUAACAUUUGGAACUGCAUGGUUCUAAAGUAAAAGAUGGUUUUGCUAUCACUUAUAGAUGGACCCGCGCCGUAUUAGCUAGUUGGUAAGGUAACGGCUUACCAAGGCAACGAUACGUAGCCGACAUGAGAGGGUGAUCGGCCACAGUGGAACUGAGACACGGUCCAGACUCCUACGGGAGGCAGCAGUAGGGAAUCUUCCGCAAUGGACGAAAGUCUGACGGAGCAACGCCGCGUGAGUGAUGAAGGUUUUCGGAUCGUAAAACUCUGUUAUUAGGGAAGAACAAAUGUGUAAGUAACUGUGCACAUCUUGACGGUACCUAAUCAGAAAGCCACGGCUAACUACGUGCCAGCCGCCGCAGUAA
rnacentral:rRNA from 1 species